rnacentral:rRNA from 1 species
GAUGAACGCUGGCGGCGUGCCUAAUACAUGCAAGUCGAGCGAACGGACGAGAAGCUUGCUUCUCUGAUGUUAGCGGCGGACGGGUGCGUAACACGUGGAUAACCUACCUAUAAGACUGGGAUAACUUCGGGAAACCGGAGCUAAUACCGGAUAAUAUUUUGAACCGCAUGGUUCAAAAGUGAAAGACGGUCUUGCUGUCACUUAUAGAUGGAUCCGCGCUGCAUUAGCUAGUUGGUAAGGUAACGGCUUACCAAGGCAACGAUGCAUAGCCGACCUGAGAGGGUGAUCGGCCACACUGGAACUGAGACACGGUCCAGACUCCUACGGGAGGCAGCAGUAGGGAAUCUUCCGCAAAGGGCGAAAGCCUGACGGAGCAACGCCGCGUGAGUGAUGAAGGUCUUCGGAUCGUAAAACUCUGUUAUUAGGGAAGAACAUAUGUGUAAGUAACUGUGCACAUCUUGACGGUACCUAAUCAGAAAGCCACGGCUAACUACGUG